GUGGGGAAUAUUGCGCAAUGGGGGCAACCCUGACGCAGCCAUGCCGCGUGAAUGAAGAAGGCCUUCGGGUUGUAAAGUUCUUUCGGUGACGAGGAAGGUUGUUGUGUUAAUAGCGCAACAAAUUGACGUUAAUCACAGAAGAAGCACCGGCUAACUCCGUGCCAGCAGCCGCGGUAAUACGGAGGGUGCGAGCGUUAAUCGGAAUAACUGGGCGUAAAGGGCACGCAGGCGGCUAUUUAAGUGAGGUGUGAAAUCCCCGGGCUUAACCUGGGAAUUGCAUUUCAGACUGGGUAGCUAGAGUACUUUAGGGAGGGGUAGAAUUCCACGUGUAGCGGUGAAAUGCGUAGAGAUGUGGAGGAAUACCGAAGGCGAAGGCAGCCCCUUGGGAAUGUACUGACGCUCAUGUGCGAAAGCGUGGGGAGCAAACAGGAUUAGAUACCCUUGUAGUCC
rnacentral:rRNA from 1 species